rnacentral:rRNA from 1 species
UACGAAGGGGGCUAGCGUUGUUCGGAAUUAUUGGGCGUAAAGAGCUCGUAGGCGGUUCGUCGCGUCGGCUGUGAAAACCCGGAGCUCAACUCCGGGCCUGCAGUCGAUACGGGCGGACUUGAGUGUUGCAGGGGAGACUGGAAUUCCUGGUGUAGCGGUGAAAUGCGCAGAUAUCAGGAGGAACACCGGUGGCGAAGGCGGGUCUCUGGGCAACUACUGACGCUGAGGAGCGAAAGCGUGGGGAGCGAACAGG